GCCGGAGCAAUCAAGCAUCAGGCAGUUGCACUUCGUAAUGGAGCUGAUUUAUCCACAUUUUACAGCUGCAGUUUUGAAGGGUACCAGGAUACCUUAUACACACAUUCUUUAAGGCAAUUCUACAGGGAGUGUGAUAUAUAUGGUACAGUAGACUUCAUAUUUGGAAAUGCUGCUGUCGUUUUUCAAAACUGCAACUUAUAUCCACGGCUGCCUAUGAGUGGACAAUUCAACGCUAUUACUGCACAAGGCCGGACCGACCCCAGCCAAAUCAUCAGCUGCUCUAAUUGUACAAUUAUGUAUAGAAGUACCC
rnacentral:misc_RNA from 1 species